CCUACGGGUGGCAGCAGUGGGGAAUAUUGCGCAAUGGGCGAAAGCCUGACGCAGCGACGCCGCGUGAGGGAUGAAGGUCUUCGGAUCGUAAACCUCUGUCAGCAGGGAAGAACGGUCACUGUGCUAAUCAGCAGUGAAUUGACGGUACCUGCAAAGGAAGCACCGGCUAACUCCGUGCCAGCAGCCGCGGUAAUACGGAGGGUGCGAGCGUUAAUCGGAAUUACUUGGCGUAAAGCGCUCGUAGGCGGUAUGUCAAUUCACGGGGGACAUCCCCGCGCUCCACGUGGGAACUGCCUUUGAAACUGGCAAACUUGAGUGUGUGAGCGGAGAGUGGAAUUCCAGGUGUAGGAGUGAAAUCCGUAGAUAUCUGGAGGAACAUCAGUGGCGAAGGCGACUAUCUGGCACAUAACUGACGCUGUGGCGCGAAAGCGUGGGUAGCAAACAGGAUUAGAUACCCCGGUAGUC
rnacentral:rRNA from 1 species